ACUGUUAACGGUUAGUUUU
rnacentral:snRNA from 1 species